GGGCACCGGAAGUGGCCGCCCAGCUUGACUUCCGCUCCCAAAGCACUCGCUCCCGGGGCUCGCGUUCUGGUUGUUAGGAAACCACCAAGGAGUUUGAGAGCAUGGAGGCCGCGCGCCCUCCCUCGACGGCAGGGAGGUUCGUGGUGGUCGGCGGAGGCAUCGCGGGUGUCACCUGUGCUGAGCAGGUACCGACUGCGCGGUGGCCCUUGUUGGACGAAGUUCCUCCGGCCUCUCCAGCUUCGCCUUAGACGCAGGGAGGAGUGGACGGCCAGUCUCAUAGGGAGAAAUAGAACAUGGUGGUUUUGAAGAAUCAGAGUGUGAUUUAAGAAGAUUCUUUCAAGAAGCUUAAAGUGAGAGAGAGGUUGUAGCCAGAGGAAAAUGAUGAAAAAAAAUGGCAAGUAAGCCUCUAAAUUUUGUUGAAGCUAAUACUAAAAUGGUUCUGUUUUCCCAGCAUGUAUAGGGGUUGGGCAUUUAGAAGGGGCAUAAUAAUGAUGCCAAAGCACUUAGGAAAAGUCAGGCUAAGAUUCUGAAUACUUACUAGUAAGGAUUUGCUGUAAUUUCAUCCCACUGAAGGGAAAUGAAAACAUUAUUUUAAAAGAAAUAGAAGUUGGUUUAACUGGUAAUUAGGAAAAUAUUUUAUUCUCAUUCUCCGCAUGACAACUUUAAAUUGGUGUAUAAGGUAGCUCAAGUAAGUAAGGAAUACUUCUUAAUAUAUUUUUCUUGUUCAGGAGGUCUUUGUUCGUGUUUAGUAUUAAUGUAUGGUUUGUUUUAUCAAUAUCAGAGUUAAACAUAACCCACCACUACCCCCAUAAAUAGGAACAAGACCCAGAAUAAUGGAGACCUUCAUAUGAAGAAAAGUGAACUUAUAGUUUCCUAGCUGGGUUAAUAACAUUAAUAAAAGUGCAUUAUUCCUGUCUCA
rnacentral:lncRNA from 1 species